rnacentral:rRNA from 1 species
UACGUAGGUGGCAAGCGUUGUUCGGAAUUAUUGGGCGUAAAGGGCGCGUAGGCGGCUUGUUAAGUCGGAUGUGAAAGCCCUCGGCUCAACCGGGGAAGUGCACUCGAAACUGCAAGGCUAGAGUCUCGGAGAGGAUCGUGGAAUUCUCGGUGUAGAGGUGAAAUUCGUAGAUGUCGAGAGGAACACCGGUGGCGAAGGCGGCGAUCUGGACGAUGACUGACGCUGAGACGCGAAGCGUGGGGAGCAACCAGGAUUAGAAACCCCCAGU